UAGACGAGUCAUUUCAGCAACAUACCAGCUACCUUGCUAGAAGUGGAAAUGCUGCCACCUUCCCUUUCAUGAAACAAAGAGAAGCACUAGAAGAGGUGGGGAACGACAGAGAGGCAAACAAAGCUCUGUGAAGCAGGACUAUCAAAGAGAAAACAGCCUUUGAGGCAGACAAAGAAAAGUAAGACACAGCAGUAACUCUGUGUGCGUGUGUGAGACAGCCACAAAUUAAAAAAAAACAAAGAAAACAAACAAAGGGAGCAACAAGAAGCCUGGAAGAGGGGAAGAGAUGAGAAGACUCAAAGCGACUGAGGAGUCAGAGCAGCGUGAAAGAGGGCAGAAGAGCGCCGAAUGAAAUUUGUUAUCGUCUACUUUCCCCCCCUCACGUGCAGUUUGUCAUCAGUGACAGUGGAAUUAUCCCUCUCAACUAUAAUCUCAACCUCCACUGCUAAUCUCAGGCUCGCCCGAGCACCACUCCUCCUCUGGAUGACGUCCCCAUAAGCAAAUAAGCACGCAGCCUAAAGCAAAGGCACUCAGCUGGCAGCUCCGUCAGGGGAAAGAAGAGAAUGAUACGUUCCCAACCGACUCCUAAUUGCCAACUGGUUUUGCGAUUUCUGACAGUUUAGGCUCGGCCAAGUUUCACAAAAAAACAAAAACUAAACAACAAACAAAGAAACAACAAGAAGUUUCUGAUCAGCAGUGCAGGUUUACAGAUCCAGUGGGUGGAGUUGAUCCCUGAUCUGAUCUGUCACCAGCUCGGCCACUGAGAACAUAACCAACAAAGAAAGCUGUGAAACCUGGCUAAGGAUGGAUGCCAGAGAACAGACGCUGAACAUCCUUGACAGAAUCUGGGUCAAGCUUCAAGGUCUGCCCAACGCCAACCCCAUAGAGCUGGGAGCUUUCUUCGUCCUGCUAACUUUUAUUCUUGUAGUCCUACUCAUCACAGUGGUGACCUGCGCGAGCUUUUGCUGCGGCUGCUGCAGCUGCUGCUGUCGCAAGAGGAAACUAAAGGGUUCCGACCUUUGAGCAAAAACAGACACAACUGCAAGCUCUCCACACAGCGAGUCCUGAUCGUGUUUUAGAAACACACACACACACACACACACACACAAGAAUUGUACAGGCUGCAUGCUGUGCUGUGCAGCACUAAAGAACCUCAGCCCUUGGACAACAAAACACCUGCCAAACACAGUGAAGGAUGUCCUGCAAUGCUGCCAAACACACCUGCUCAAGUCAACAGGCUUUCAGGAGAGUCUACAUUCCUUGGAGCAUCACGGCACUCGACAGGGCAACAACGAUCCCUGAGGACAGGGCAGGGCCAACUCCAGCUGUGUGUGAAUCAGGCAGAAACGUCUCGGACCAUGCAAGACUGAACAUGUGUAUGAAACUAACUUUAGGCAAACAGUGAGAAAUGACUGGGAAAGCCCAAUUGGAUUUUUUUUUCCUCAGAGCUUUCUAAACAUAACGAUGUGUCAUUCUAAAGGAAUGAGAACUGGCAGUCAGACCUCCGAGUUAGGCAAGAGCCUCAAGCAGGAAGCAGCUUUCAAAGGAUGGUAAGAGAGAAAGUCUGCCCUCUGCUGUCCAGAAACAGAAAUGCACUCUUUAUCUAAAACUGCAUGUUACAUACUGUGGAACAGGUGAAGGCGUUAUGUUAGGAUGUAAUGCUUUAAGCCUGCACUUAUUGUCUGUUAUGCUUUGAUCUGUAUGUAAAUAAUAAUAAAAAUAAUAAUAAUAAUAAUAA